CUUGUAGGCGGUUUGUCGCGUCUGCUGUGAAAAUCCGGGGCUCAACCCCGGACUUGCAGUGGGUACGGGCAGACUAGAGUGUGGUAGGGGAGACUGGAAUUCCUGGUGUAGCGGUGAAAUGCGCAGAUAUCAGGAGGAACACCGAUGGCGAAGGCAGGUCUCUGGGCCACUACUGACGCUGAGAAGCGAAAGCGUGGGGAGCGAACA
rnacentral:rRNA from 1 species